UCUCUCAUAGCUCAGUUGGUAAAGAAUCUGUCUGCAAUGCAGGAGACCUGGGUUCGAUCCCUGGGGGGGGAC
rnacentral:tRNA from 1 species